GACCGCGUAGCUCAGUUGGAAGAGCAUUGGGCUAGUAUUCCAAAGGUCGUAGGUUCAAAUCCUACCGUGACCG
rnacentral:tRNA from 1 species